rnacentral:rRNA from 1 species
UACAGAGGGUGCAAGCGUUGUUCGGAAUUAUUGGGCGUAAAGAGCUCGUAGGCGGCUUAGUAAGUCGGGUGUGAAACCUCCAGGCUCAACCUGGAGACGCCACCCGAUACUGCUGUGGCUAGAGUCCGGUAGGGGAGCGUGGAAUUCCUGGUGUAGCGGUGAAAUGCGCAGAUAUCAGGAGGAACACCAGCGGCGAAGGCGGCGCUCUGGGCCGGUACUGACGCUGAGGAGCGAAAGCGUGGGGAGCAAACAGG